CACCCUUUGUGAGGCAGUCUCUACCUCACAGAGGGGUGAGGGCGUGGGCCCUCGGCACCCAAGCAAGAUGGCAGCUGUUGCAGGCAGUGCAGAGAUGUGCGUACUGCUGGUCAUGAUGCAGGGAGGAAGGCUUUCCUCCUUCGUCCUGCUGUCAGCGCUGUUCUACUACUCUAUGAUUAAACUGAUGGAGAUAACAAACAGGAGGAGACAGCAUUGUUACAGAUAGGAGUAAUUGACUGAAAUCAGUUGACUGAGAAAGGAUUUGACUUUGUAUGUAGUUUCUUUCUUAUCUAGUAUUAAUGUUGCUACAACAAAGGCAUUAUUAUAAACUAAAAAUAGAUUCAUCUGAUAUACAGAGUGGCUCAGUUUUGAAGGUAUGUCUGGUUAUCACCUACCGCAUUCAUAGAAGUGACACAGAGAAGGCUGCACAGACUGUAUCCAAACUGGCUUCGAAUAUCCCCAAGGAGGAAUGCUUCAGAGCUUCUCUGGACAACCUUUUCUUGUAUAUGACCAUCCUCAUUGCACAAAAGCUUCUUCCUUUAUUUCAGUGGGUUUUCUUGUAUUUCAUUUUGUUUCCAUUUCCUCUUGUCACAUCACCUGACACCACUGAGAAUAUCUGACUCCUGCUGUCAGAUAUUUAUAGUCACUACUAAGGUCAUCCUAUUGAGCCUUCUCUUUUUCCUCAUAACAUCUUUAUUUAUUUGCACAUGCUUACAAUAGAUUCCUUUCCAUAGUGUUGGAAAUGAUGUCCUUGUUCCAUGUAAUCAGUUAUGUCUAUCUCUUAACAGUAGUCUUCAGUCUUCAGAGAGGAUCUUACCGUCAGAAAAAAAAGAAAUCACUGAUUGGUAGCUCCUACUGUAUAAUUGCUUGUUGACCUGCAUGAUCCAUCUCUUCAGCUUCAUGUCCUUUCUGCUUACAACCUUUCUCCUCACAACCUUCCUACCAACAGGAUUUGUCUCUGCUGGCCACAGAAUUGGUGCCGAUGUGGAAAAGCAGGAGAGGAUCACAAAGCAACAACUGGAUGAGCCUUGGCAGCCUCAUCUUCCAUGGCACUUAAUCUCCUUUGUAGCUGCAGGUGGAGCAGGAGCAGGAGCUUACCAGAUCCCAGAGUGUACCACUGUGGAAGUCUUAGUUUCCCAAAUCAGACUUUGGAGAAGAUCACUGCAGCCAUACGAUAAGAAGAGUACUGAGACGUCUUGGAAACAACAGGAUGGCUACUGACUGACACCAGAUAACACACCAAUUAAAAAAUGUAAGCCUUUGAUAAGAUUGUGAACCUGGAGUACACAGCCGAUGGGGAAACAGGGGAGUGGGGUAGGCAAGGAGGGAAACAAGGUACAAAAGUUAUCAUUGUGUCCAUAGGUGUGCUCCUGCUUGUGGGAUGCCCACCAUUGCAAUCGUGAAUAAAAUCUGCUUUUAUCAGAGAUACCGUCCUGACAACAUUAUUUGGAUAUUUCCAACAACUUUCAUUAGGUUUUAUCAUGGAAAACUCUAGUAAGAAGCAUCUUUUGGCAUUAUUGAAAUGAAAAUCCAAGUAAUAUCCAUCAUUUCUGAGGUAAACUUUUCUAGAAAUUUCUCCUCAUGGGAGAUUUUGACAUUUUAUUUCAAUUUCUGCCAAAAGAGAAUAGCAAAGAAUCAAAUGGCCACAUAGAACAUAAAUUCCAGAGUUUCAUCACCUCUGACAUACUCUGAGCUAGAGAUUGUGGUGUUUUUCUUCUUCUGCCUACUCUAUUCAUUUCAUAUCUCUUGUCAAGUCACAUUUUAGAACUAAAAUCAAUAUUGAGCAAGCAGAUUUCAGUGUGUGCACUAAUGAGCUCUGUGUGGGAAUAGAAAGUCUGUAUCUGUAGAGCUGCUUGCCCUGAUCUUACAUUUCUGUUUGCACCUGUUAUGUUAUGAGGCCCCACUGCUGAAUGGCCCAGAAUUUGCCCGCAGCCUCUCGUGAAGGCUGACUUGCUUUCAGAAACAAGGUGAGUGUUGUUGUGAGAAACUACAGUUUAAAUGCUUUUACAUCCAAUAUAUUCAAUGUUUUCUCCUAGAACGAUUAAUUACAGUGAGUCUAUUUUCUGUUGCCCUUGACCAUGAAAUGAUCAAAAAGCUGGAGUGAACAGAACAGUGCUCCAAAGAGAUGUUGCAUUAUAUUCAGUGAACUGAUGUUUGCUAGAGAAUAUAUAUACAGAACUUAUUACUGAAGCAAAGGGCUGGAUUCAGUUUGUUCUGUUUUGUUUUGCAGACAAUAAUUUCUGAUCUGCUUUUGCAAUAGCUGUCCUCUUUCCUGGAAGUUGUAACACUUUCAUUUGAAGAUAUUUUCCCAUUUCAAGGUUCACCUUAUUAUAAAUAGUGUUUAUUUCUGCUCCAGUGUGACAGGCCCAUGAAAAUAGAGUUCAAUGUGAGGGACAUAAUAUUUAACGAUGAUCAGAUCAGCUUAAAGUUAAACCUUGGAUCUAAAUCUGAGGGUAAAGGACAACACAACUAAACACACUUUUCUCUGAUAUUUCUUUUUUUUUCCCCUUCUUAGUGUUUCUUAAAAAUGUCACUACAAUUAUUAGGUUUGGCUAUGAAGUUUGCACCUCUUGCUUCUUGCUCUAUCAAACCUUUCACAUUCUUGUGUUCUACUGCAGCCUCAAAGUAAAAAAUCACAAGUUGUUGGGAAGUUGUCUCUUCAAAUGAGUCCUCACAUGCUAGAAAAUUAGUUCUGAACAUAUUCCCAAUGCUUGGAAAUCUUUCUCCAGUUUCCCUAAGGAGGUUCUAAGAGGUUCUUUCUGGGGAUUCUUUUAUUAAACUAGCAUAAUAGGAUCUCAGUGGUCAAUGAGAACUCAAUAUCUUUAUGAAACAACCCAAGAGAAAGUAAGGGAAAUACUUUACCUUUGAGGUACCUUCCUUUACAUGCCCACAAGGCGUUGCCAUUCUCUUUUGACAGCACAUGUAGGAAACCAGAUCUAAUUGCAAUGUGAAUGCCUGAAACAACUGCCUAAAGCUAGAUUUUAUGUAUCUGUGUCACGGCUUACAAACAAUAACAAAGAAAGAGCUGGCACUUUGUUUUCUAGAGCAGGAACCAUCACAAGACUUUGUUUUCCCUAAGCUGAAGGUUCUACUUCCACUAUAAUAUGUUAGCUUUUUUUAAGCAAUGUGAUACAUCUCUGCAGCUGUUCAGGUGGUCGUAUAUCCCAGCUUCCCAGCUCCACUCAAGGUCUAGGAGCUUUCAAUGAGCUUUCCGAAGAGCAUGAGAUUUUUUAGGACUACGACAAAAUAGCCAUCUGAGGUUUCUUACAGCAUUAGAUGAUAAUGGAAUAAGUGGUAUGUAGCUUGCACGGCUGACGCUCACCCACCUACCUUUUCAACCAUCCAGGUAAUCAUCAGUACAACUUUGAGCAUGGUUGUCAGCACUUAAGGAUGGGUGACUCACAAGUGGGCUACUUACAAGUACUUCAUCUCACUAGCAGAUCUUGCAUUACCUUUAACUGUUAAGAAAGAUGUUAUUUUCAGUUGGGACUCUCAGACAAUAGCUGCAGAACUUAGGAUUUAGUGAU